UUGAGAGGAUGCCUAAUCUGAAAUUCCUCAAGUUAAGAGCGGGGACUUUUGUUGGAGACAUCAACAAUCAUCUCCAGGAGCUAAGAUGGCUGUCUUGGUAUUCUCCUCUGCGUUGUACAAUGGCCAAUUUUCACUUGGAAAAUCUAGCCGUUUUAGAACUUUCAAACGUUGACUACGGCGAAAACCGGGGUGGAUGGAACAUUUUGAAGAUGGCAAACAAAUUAAAAGAUCUUUCUCUC